rnacentral:rRNA from 1 species
UACGUAGGGGGCGAGCGUUAAUCGGAAUUACUGGGCGUAAAGCGUGCGCAGGCGGUUCUCCAAGUCCGUUGUGAAAGCCCCGGGCUCAACCUGGGAAUGGCAGUGGAAACUAGGGGACUGGAAUCUGGCAGAGGGGGGUGGAAUGCCGCGUGUAGCAGUGAAAUGCGUAGAGAUGCGGCGGAACACCGAUGGCGAAGGCAGCCCCCUGGGCUGAGAUUGACGCUCAGGCACGAAAGCGUGGGGAGCGAACGGG